rnacentral:rRNA from 1 species
UACGGAGGGUACAAGCGUUGUUCGGAAUUAUUGAACGUAAAGGGCAGAUAGGUGAUCUUGAAAGUCUACUGUGAAAGCCCCGAGCUUAACCUGGGAAGUGCAAUGGAUACUCCAAGACUAGAGUGCUGGAGGGGUGCGUGGAAUUCCCGGUGUAGCGGUGAAAUGCGUAGAUAUCGAAAGGAACACCAGAGGCGAAAGCAGCGCACUGGACAGUAACUGACACUCAACUGCGAAAGCAUAGGAAGCAAACAGG